UUAGGAAUAUAGCUAUGUGGUGGGCAGGGGUAGUUAACGUAUAUACAUGUCAAAAAAACAACCGUUUUGUGGUUUGAUUGAAUUCUUUUGUUAACAUCAUGAACGAUAUUCCAUGAAAGGAACUUGAGGCGGAAAAGGGCUGGAGCUAACGGAGUUCAGUCCAAGCUAAAUUCUGUGAACAAAGCAAGGCCCUGUGGAUAACAUCCUGAUGCGCAGAUUAAGUUGAGAACCCAAGAGUUUAUUUCUUAUUUGCGCCUGGUUUUGCCGUCUCCCUGCGAGUAGCACAGAAGGGUUCCAUUUCACAAAGAUUUAAUCAAAUAGGAGGAUACAAUCGAUAAAGGAACAUCGCAGACACUCGGCAGAGUAAAUAACGCCUCUCAGUGCUUCACUGCGCAGUGGCAGCAAGUUCAAGUUGUCCUCCGGUCAUUGACAGUCGAUGGUAGUUUGUUCCCAUUCCGCACUCUGUUAUCAACUUCUGGGCCUGGAAACAGUAAAGAAAAGAGAAGAAAAGUGUUAAUGUGAAAGCAAAGGCCGUCUUAAGGAUCCACCAACUAGCCUGUGGAGUUCAACAGGAAACGCUUGAGUAAUGAGACGGGUAUUUGUUUUUGGAAGGAGUGCUUCUCCUUCGCAGUCAGCCUCAGACCACAAAAAAUAGCAAUUCUGGCCGAUUUCUCAGUCGGUUGCCAUAAUUACUCAUAAUACUUACGUCUAUUGGUCAGCUUGUGUGAGUUAUACAAGUUGUUGGUACCCUAAAUGAACAAUUUUUAAGUGUGUGCUAAAGGUAUUUGAGAAUUGUAUCGUUUUGCUCUACCCCAACUCAUGAUUGAAAAAUUGCGCCACCCUCUCGACCAAUCAGAUGUAAAACUAAAAGCAAUUGAAAAUUUGUGUUAAAAGUUAUGCUAGCCCGCGCUUCAGACAG